AGGACGAACGCUGGCGGCGUGCUUAACACAUGCAAGUCGAACGGUAAGGCCCUUCGGGGUACACGAGUGGCGAACGGGUGAGUAACACGUGGGUGAUCUGCCCUGCACUUCGGGAUAAGCUUGGGAAACUGGGUCUAAUACCGGAUAUGACUACGAAUCGCAUGGUUUGUGGUGGAAAGCUUUUGCGGCGUGGGAUGGGCCCGCGGCCUAUCAGCUUGUUGGUGGGGUGAUGGCCUACCAAGGCGACGACGGGUAGCCGGCCUGAGAGGGUGUCCGGCCACACUGGGACUGAGAUACGGCCCAGACUCCUACGGGAGGCAGCAGUGGGGAAUAUUGCACAAUGGGCGCAAGCCUGAUGCAGCGACGCCGCGUGAGGGAUGACGGCCUUCGGGUUGUAAACCUCUUUCAGUAUCGACGAAGCGCAAGUGACGGUAGGUACAGAAGAGGACCGCCAACUACGUGCCAGCAGCCGC
rnacentral:rRNA from 1 species